rfam:Populus trichocarpa scaffold_3_contig_10, whole genome shotgun sequence.
CUUUUUAAGGUUAAACGUCAACACUUUAGACAAAUCUUCUAUUUUUAAGGAGUAAUGUUAUUUUUUUUGACGUGUUUCCUAUUUUUAGGGACC